rnacentral:piRNA from 1 species
UGGCCUCACAGUAUCUGCUGGUGUCUU